rnacentral:lncRNA from 1 species
AAAACCCAUUUUAUUUUUCUUGGAUUUUGUUUAAAUAUGCCUUAAGAACAAUUUACAUUUUAAAAAUACAUAGUCUUCUUGGAAUUCCUGUCGUGGCGCAGCAGAAACGAAUCCAACUAGGAACCAUGAGGUUGCGGGUUCGAUCCCUGGCCUCUCUCAGUGGGUUAAGGACCCGGCGUUGCCAUGAGCUAUAGUGUAGUUUGCAGACAUGGCUCAGAUCCCAAGUUGCUGUGGCUGUGGUGUAGGCCAGCAGCUGUAGCUCUGAUUUGACCCCCAGCCUGGGAACCUCCCUAUGCCACAGGUGCAGCCCCCCACCCACCAAAAAAAAGAUAAAAAUAAAUAGUCUUCUAAUCAAGGAAUAUCUUCUCUCUCUCCAUUCUUUUGUUCAUGUUUUUCUGAGUAAGGUUUUAUAUUUCCCUGCGUAGAGGCCUUUUGUUUAUUAUAUUUAUUACUAUGUUUUUCUUUGUUCUAUUCUGUCUUGUUUCAUUUUUGCAACUUUCCUGAAUACGAUUUUUCUCCCUAUAUCUUUAAGCAUAUUGAUAGAAUGUGGUAAAUAUAUCUACUUUUUGUUUGUCUUUUAUUCAGUCACUUGACUGAACUCUAUUAUUAUUAUUAUUUGUCUUUUUAAGGUCACGCCUGCAACAUAUGGAGGUUACCAGGCUAGGGGUCGAAUUGGAGCUGAAGCCUCUAGCCUACACCAUAGCCACAGCAAUGUUAGGUCCAAGCCUUGUCUGCAACCUACACCACAGCUCACGGCAACACCAGAUCCUUAACCCACUGAAUGAGGCCAGGGAUUGGACCUGCGUCCUCAUGGAUGCUAGUCAGAUUCGUUUCCGCUGAGCCACGAUGGGAACUCCUGAACUCUGUUAAUUGUUAUAGGAGUUCCCGUUGUGGCGCAGCAGAAAUGAAUCCAACUAGGAACUAUGAGGUUGCGGGUUUGAUCUCUGGCCUCGCUCAGCAGGUUAAGGAUCCAGUGUUGCUGUGAGCUGCUGAGCUGCGGUGUUGGUCGUGGACGCGACUCCUAUCCUGUGUUGCUAUGGCUGUGGCCUAGGCUGGCAGCUGUAGCUCCAAUUUGACCCCUAGCCUGGAAACCUCCAUAUGCCGGUGGUGAGGCCCUAAAAAAGCAAUUAAAAAAAAAGGCUCAUCGGCUAGAUGUGCCUCUUGAAUUGAUUGGGCCAAGAGUUGGCAUCUGCUCUUAAUUGUAAUCCUAGGCUGUUGCAGCAUGCGAGCAUAUACACACUGGGCAAGUAGUCAGACUGAGAGCCCCCUCCGAAUAACCACACCCUAGAUGGGAAGGUCACACAUGAAUAUAUGCAGGAAAGGAAGGCAAAAUAAAGCUCCACUGGAAUGGAGAAGUAGGGGGGAAGCUAGGGUUUUGCUGGGCAAACAUAAAGGACAGGGUUUUAUAUAGACAACCUGUGACGCUCCAUCCUCACCUUUGCAGACACAACAGACCAAUUAGGGAAAGCAGGUAAAUUCUAGUCCAAACCUCCCCCCAAGCCUCCUUGCCCAGAAGGGAACGUUCUGAUUUCCUGAGUUGAGCAUUUGAACACUUCUUGAGUUGAAACGCAAGUUUGUUUAUUUACAGUCUUUCUUGUUUAAAAAUGUAAGUAUGCACAAGUGCACAUUUAAACUCUCACUUCUGCUUUAACCACAUUCCAUCCAAGUUGAUAGGCAUUGUUGCACUGCCAUGAAUUUUUAAAUGGCCUGUAAUUAUGGUACUGAUUUCCUCUUUGACUCAAAAACUUAUUACAGUUUUUGUUUUAAUUUCCAAGGAAGUGGGUAUUUUAAGCAUUUAUAAUCAUUACUGUUAUUAUUUGCUUUGUGAUCAGAAAUAUGAACCCUGCAAUUUCUGCUUUUCGAAAUUUAUUAGUUUUCCUCAAGGCCUGGUAUAUGGCCAGUUCUUUCAUAGAUGCUUAGUAAGGAGGUGGAAUUGAAAAGGUUUAUAGAAACAUAGAGAUGUGGUACAAAUAGAAAGAUGGAUAUAUAGAUACCAGUUCACCCAAUGUAAUUAUUUUGCUCUCUUAAUGUUUAAUCAUUGAAACACAUUGAUGCUUAAGGAAUUGUAUUUUCUUUCAUACUAAACAUUUUAUGGUAAUUUUUUCAUAUUUCUAAUGGUUGUCUUUUUUAAAUUACUCAAUGAAUUUUAAUACAUUUAGUUGUACAACAAUCAUCACAGCCAAUUUUGUAGCAUUUCCAUCCCAAACCCUCAGCACAUCCCCCCACCCCUAACCUGUCUCAUUUGGAAGCCAUAAGUUUUUCAAAGUCUGUGAGUCAGUAUCUGUUCUGCAAAGAAGUUCAUUGUGUCCUUUUUUAAGAUUCCACAUGUCAAUGAUAGCAUAUGAUGUUGGUAUCUCACUGUCUGACUUAGCAUGACAAUUUCUAGGUCCAUCCAUGUUGCUGCAAAUACCGUUAUUUCUUUCCUUUUAAUGGCUGAGUAAUAUCCAUUGUAUAUAUGGUACCACAUCUUG